AAUCUUCAGUUUCUCUUUGUUUUUGUUUGAGCUGCUUAAAUGGCAAAGUAGUGUUAACCAGCAGAGCGGGAAGGGGGAGAACGCGUUUUACAUUACAGCUUCAACAAACAGGACUCUCUCCUUUACUCAACUGCUAUCUCUUUCUCUUUCUCUCUCUAGGAUCUGAGCUCUGUGUGUGUGUUUCCACUUUCUACCGACGCUCUUCCUCCUUUCGUGCUUCAGGUA